rnacentral:rRNA from 1 species
UACGUAGGGUGCGAGCGUUAAUCGGAAUUACUGGGCGUAAAGCGUGCGCAGGCGGUUUUGUAAGCCCGGUGUGAAAUCCCCGGGCUCAACCUGGGAAUGGCAUUUGGGACUGCAAGGCUGGAGUGUGGCAGAGGAGACUGGAAUUCCUGGUGUAGCAGUGAAAUGCGUAGAUAUCAGGAGGAAUACCGAUGGCGAAGGCAGGUCUCUGGGCUGACACUGACGCUCAUGCACGAAAGCGUGGGGAGCAAACAGG